rnacentral:rRNA from 1 species
GACGAACGCUGGCGGCGUGCCUAAUACAUGCAAGUUGAGCGCUGAAGGUUGGUACUUGUACCGACUGGAUGAGCAGCGAACGGGUGAGUAAAGCGUGGGGAAUCUGCCUUUGGGCGGGGGACAACAUUUGGAAACGAAUGCUAAUACCGCAUAAAAACUUUAAACACAAGUUUUAAGUUUGAAAGAUGCAAUUGCAUCACUCAAAGAUGAUCCCGCGUUGUAUUAGCUAGUUGGUGAGGUAAAGGCUCACCAAGGCGAUGAUACAUAGCCGACCUGAGAGGGUGAUCGGCCACAUUGGGACUGAGACACGGCCCAAACUCCUACGGGAGGCAGCAGUAGGGAAUCUUCGGCAAUGGACGAAAGUCUGACCGAGCAACGCCGCGUGAGUGAAGAAGGUUUUCGGAUCGUAAAACUCUGUUGGUAGAGAAGAACGUUGGUGAGAGUGGAAAGCUCAUCAAGUGACGGUAACUACCCAGAAAGGGACGGCUAACUACGUG